rnacentral:rRNA from 1 species
UACGGGGGGGGCAAGCGUUGUUCGGAAUUACUGGGCGUAAAGGGCGCGUAGGCGGUUGGAUAAGUCAGCUGUGAAAACCAUGGGCUUAACUCGUGGCCUGCAGUUGAGACUGUCUGGCUUGAGUGUGGGAGAGGAGAGUGGAAUUCCUGGUGUAGCGGUGAAAUGCGUAGAUAUCAGGAGGAACACCGGUGGCGAAGGCGGCUCUCUGGACCACAACUGACGCUGAGGCGCGAAAGCUAGGGGAGCAAACAGG